GGUGAGGUGGCCGAGUUGGUUAUGGCGCCAGGUUAAGGUGUAUCUUAACAACGAUUCCUGGUGGGGCAACCCGCGCGAGUUCGAGUCUCGUCCUCAUCA
rfam:Neofusicoccum parvum TCRNP2 chromosome Tnknown NP2_03_scaffold_159, whole genome shotgun sequence.